CGUCAGAUAGCUCAGUGGUCUAGAGCAGUCGCCCGGCAAGCGAAAGACCCGGGUUCGAUUCUCGGUCUAGCGA
rnacentral:tRNA from 1 species